rnacentral:rRNA from 1 species
GACGGGGGGCGUGCUAUACAUGCAGUCGAACGCUUCUUUUUCCACCGGAGCUUGCUCCACCGGAAAAAGAGGAGUGGCGAACGGGUGAGUAACACGUGGGUAACCUGCCCAUCAGAAGGGGAUAACACUUGGAAACAGGUGCUAAUACCGUAUAACAAUCGAAACCGCAUGGUUUUGAUUUGAAAGGCGCUUUCGGGUGUCGCUGAUGGAUGGACCCGCGGUGCAUUAGCUAGUUGGUGAGGUAACGGCUCACCAAGGCCACGAUGCAUAGCCGACCUGAGAGGGUGAUCGGCCACAUUGGGACUGAGACACGGCCCAAACUCCUACGGGAGGCAGCAGUAGGGAAUCUUCGGCAAUGGACGAAAGUCUGACCGAGCAACGCCGCGUGAGUGAAGAAGGUUUUCGGAUCGUAAAACUCUGUUGUUAGAGAAGAACAAGGAUGAGAGUAACUGUUCAUCCCUUGACGGUAUCUAACCAGAAAGCCACGGCUAACUACGUGCCAGCAGCCGCGGUAAUACGUAGGUGGCAAGCGUUGUCCGGAUUUAUUGGGCGUAAAGCGAGCGCAGGCGGUUUCUUAAGUCUGAUGUGAAAGCCCCCGGCUCAACCGGGGAGGGUCAUUGGAAACUGGGAGACUUGAGUGCAGAAGAGGAGAGUGGAAUUCCAUGUGUAGCGGUGAAAUGCGUAGAUAUAUGGAGGAACACCAGUGGCGAAGGCGGCUCUCUGGUCUGUAACUGACGCUGAGGCUCGAAAGCGUGGGGAGCAAACAGGAUUAGAUACCCUGGUAGUCCACGCCGUAAACGAUGAGUGCUAAGUGUUGGAGGGUUUCCGCCCUUCAGUGCUGCAGCUAACGCAUUAAGCACUCCGCCUGGGGAGUACGACCGCAAGGUUGAAACUCAAAGGAAUUGACGGGGGCCCGCACAAGCGGUGGAGCAUGUGGUUUAAUUCGAAGCAACGCGAAGAACCUUA